rnacentral:sRNA from 1 species
GCUGGGUAUGGUAGCACAUGCUUGUAAUCCCAGCAACUCAGAAGGCUGAGGCAGGAGGAUUGCUAGUUCAAGGCCAGUCUCAGCAAUUUAAUAAGGCCCUGAGCAACUUAGCGAGAUGCUGUCUCAA